UGGGGGAUAUUGCACAAUGGGGGAAACCCUGAUGCAGCGACGCCGCGUGAAGGAAGAAGGCCUUCGGGUUGUAAACUUCUGUCGUACGGGACGAUAAUGACGGUACCGUACAAGAAAGCCACGGCUAACUACGUGCCAGCAGCCGCGGUAAAACGUAGGUGGCAAGCGUUGUCCGGAAUUACUGGGUGUAAAGGGAGCGCAGGCGGACUAGCAAGUUGGAAGUGAAAUCUAUGGGCUCAACCCAUAAAUUGCUUUCAAAACUGCCGGUCUUGAGUAGUGCAGAGGUAGGCGGAAUUCCCGGUGUAGCGGUGGAAUGCGUAGAUAUCGGGAGGAACACCAGUGGCGAAGGCGGCUUACUGGACGGUAACUGACGUUGAGGCUCGAAAGCGUGGGGAGCAAACAGGAUUAGAUACCC
rnacentral:rRNA from 1 species